ensembl:lncRNA
GUGCAGCGCUGCAGUCAGUCUUCAGUAUGAGAGCGGCUCUGAACAUCAGGUGAAGAACUGUGUUUACACAUUUAGCAUUUAACUGUCACUUUGGAUCAAUUGAAUGUGUCCUUGCUGAAUAAAAACAUUAACCCUCUAUACAACAUAUAAUAAAUUAAUGCUUUUAUUCAGCAAGGACACAUUAAAUUGAUCUAAAGUGACUGUAAAUACUUUUAUAAUGUAACAAAAGAUUUCUAUUUCAAAUUAAUUCUGUUCUUCUGAACUUUCUGUUCAUCUGUGAAUCCUGAAAAAUAAAAUGUAUCAGUUUCAACAGAAAUAUUGUGCAGCACAACUGUGUUCAACACUGAUAAUAAUCAGAAAUGUUUCUUGAGCAGUCAAUCAUCAUAUUUUCAUGAUUUCUGAAGAUCACUGAAGACUGGAGGAAUGAUGCUGAAAAUACAGCGGAGCAUCACAGAAAUAAAUUACACUUUAACACAGAUUCACACAGAAAACAGUUAUAUUAAAUUGUAAAAAUAUUUAACAAUUUUAAUGUAUUUUUGAUCAAAUAAAUGCCGUGAGCAGAAGAGACUAUCUGCAUUAGUGACUCUUGUCAUUUUGUGUUUUUAGUGUCGCUCUGGUUCUGUUUCCGAUCUUCAUGUGUCAUCAGACAACAAGGCAGGUAAGACUAAAAUAAAGGGAAAACAUUUUAUUGAUUGAUUCUGUCCCUCUUAUUUUUCAUUUUGCUGGUUUAUUGUGAGGAAUUUAACACAUAAUAUUCAUCGGAACUCAAAGUGUCACAAAUCAGAAAUCAAAACCACAUGGACUUCUGUAAUAAUAAAUCAUCAGGAGAACGUGUUGUCGUAGUGAGAGUGAUCACAUGUGCUCCAGCUGUCUGACCUCUCGCUGACCCUGAGAAUGAGUUUUAGGGUCCAGCUGAGUGAGGUCACGCCCUCUGCCCUCUGAUUGGCCGUCAGCUGUUGAUUGACAGUCUGAGUGUCGUUUUGUUUCCUCUUCAUGUACAUGAUCCAGAGCGGUUCUGAAGGAGCGGCGUGGAGGUCGUGGAGCUCGUGGGGUUCGUGGGGCGAGUGUUCGCGCUCCUGCGGCCGAGGAGUUCAGGAACAGACCAGAGUCUGUCUGACACAGUAUCCAGCGUCACAGAACACGCCGAACCCGAGACGCCUGAGCCCCGGCACGUACGGAUGGAGGCGAGCGAACAGUAGCCGCAUCAGUCCAGGGACGUACGGAUACAGAACGAUGCUGUAUUCAACGCCUCUUCAGAAAGAAUCCAGCCGAACGGCACACAAACAGAGACGAUCAGCAUCAAACGUCCCACACCGGAGCUACAGGACUCAUCAGAGAAGCCCGUAUCAAAACACUCGCUCUCACACAGCCACCCAACACACCCGAGCGCUGAUGAACACCGCAGCCGUGCAGAGCCCAGCACCAAACCCCUGCCCUGGAGCCCCGAACCGGCACAAGAUCUGCUACAGCACGGUAACAACUGCAGAGGAACACCUCCGAUUAUAUACCGUCAUGUGCAGUAUACAUCUGUUCAUGCUGCUUUAGACAUUCUGCUAACGAUAAAGUUACCUUGCAACUGCAUGCCAUCUAGCGGUCAUUAGAAUAUUAGUAGCCUGUCUGCUUAAUAUCUAUUAACGUUUAAACACAAAUAUUGAGAAUCUG